rnacentral:rRNA from 1 species
CAAACCAGCGCCUCCAGGACCGGCCGCCCUGGCCUCAAAAUCUGUUUUAUACUUAUCAGGUUGACCUCGGAUCAGGUAGGGAUACCCGCUGAACUUAAGCAUAUCAAUAAGC